AACCCGGUGUUUUUCAACACCACCAUCAAUUUGAAUGCCUCUGGGU
rfam:Volvox carteri f. nagariensis unplaced genomic scaffold VOLCAscaffold_8, whole genome shotgun sequence.